rnacentral:rRNA from 1 species
CCUACGGGCGGCAGCAGUCGAGAAUCAUUCACAAUGGGGGAAACCCUGAUGGUGCGACGCCGCGUGGGGGAAUGCAGGUCUUCGGAUUGUAAACCCCUGUCAUGUGGGCGCAAAUUACAACGAUAGUACCACAUGAGGAAGAGACGGCUAACUCUGUGCCAGCAGCCGCGGUAAUACAGCGGUCUCAAGCGUUCUUCGGAAUCACUGGGCGUAAAGCGUGCGUAGGCUGUUUCGUAAGUCGUGUGUGAAAGGCGCGGGCUCAACCCGCGGACGGCAGAUGAUACUGCGAGACUAGAGUAAUGGAGGGGGAAGCGGAAUUAGCGGGGUAGCAGUGAAAUGCGUAGAUAUCGAGAGGAACACUCGUGGCGAAGGCGGGUUCCUGGACAUUAACUGACGCUGAGGCACGAAGGCGAGGGGAGCGAAAGGGAUUAGAUACCCUGGUAGUC